rnacentral:rRNA from 1 species
CAGCCGCCGCGGUAAUACAGAGGGUGCGAGCGUUAAUCGGAUUUACUGGGCGUAAAGCGUGCGUAGGCGGCUUUUUAAGUCGGAUGUGAAAUCCCUGAGCUUAACUUAGGAAUUGCAUUCGAUACUGGGAAGCUAGAGUAUGGGAGAGGAUGGUAGAAUUCCAGGUGUAGCGGUGAAAUGCGUAGAGAUCUGGAGGAAUACCGAUGGCGAAGGCAGCCAUCUGGCCUAAUACUGACGCUGAGGUACGAAAGCAUGGGGAGCAAACAGGAUUAGAUACUCCCGUAGUCCCUGUCUCUUAUAC